UCAUCCCUGGUACCACUGAAGCGAUAACGUCCUUCACCACCUGGGCAGAGAGAGAGAGAGGGAGAAGAGGAAGGGGUUGCUGAAAGAUGAGGAGAAAUGGAAGAAGAUGGAGUAUUUCAAUAAGCAUUGGAGAGAGCAGUCCCUGCUUCCAAAACAGACUCAACAGACAGUUAAAGAGGACAGGGAGAGGAGGAAGGAACAUUACCUAAAAGAACAGGAGGAGAAAUGACUGGAGGAGAUGAAUCUGGAGGCUGAUUACAUUAGAUUAGAAGUUUAAUUGUCACAUGUACAGGGUUGACGGGCAAAUCAAGAAGUUCAGCACCCAGUUCAUCAACCAGUUUCCAUCUGACUACAACCACGAUCAACAGUUGCUGGGGUGGGCCACGGGCCAGAAGGUAAACCAAGGCCUCGCUGGGUUGUACAUGACCAGCCGGGGGAGCCAGAGAGCCAGCAGAGGGGACCAGAGAGCCAGCAGGGGAUUUCAGAGGUGGCUGAGAAAUCAGUCAACCACCAAACCCAAGAAAAAGGCAGGCAUCUGCAAGAGAAUUAAGACGUGCAUUCCUGACCUCCUGUUGCUCAGAACUGAAACUGGGCGGAGCCACACUGCCACUAGACUACAUUGGUAUUUAAAGUGUCUCCCAAUAAUUCCUCCUCCUCUUCUUCAAGGCCACAUUUCCUCAACAAAACAUUAUAAGCUCCUCAAGUCAGCAGUAUCCUCUUCAUCGAGGCAACAAACAUUCUAAGUGGCUCCACAGACCAGAGAUUCUCAUCUUUAUCCAAGUUGAACACAUCGCUGGUCAGUUCCACCACCCUCCUGUCCUAGACCUACAAGAUAUCUCCCAACUCAACAUGAUGAAACAAUUUGAGAGACACAGGGAAAGCUAUGGAGCAGCACCCCUUGGAUGAAGAGCCAUUUAGGGGUUAAGUGCCUUGAUCUAGGGCACAACGGCAGGAGAUGGUACCUGGGAGCAAAGUACUGUUCAGCUUUAAUAAAAGCAUGAAUUAAAAAAGCGACAUUGUUUUUACGGUGUUGAUUUAAUUGGUUAUUUAUUAGAAUUUAAACAUACAUUGUGGUAUUAUGUUAGACUUCCAGUGAAUCUCCUAACAUUCCAUCAGUUUGCUACAAUGUGUGACUGUUAUGUUAUAAUAGAGAGGGGUCAUAUCUUGCUGGCCCAAUAUUUAUAAGUUAAGAGCGUUGGACCAGGAAAUGGAAAGGUCGCUGGUUCGAAUCCCAGAGCAAACUAGGUAAAAAGUCUGUCGAAGUGCUCUAAAAUGGAAAUGUUGUCUAUAUAUCUAUACAAUCUAUGGUAGACCAUAGGAGAAAUAUCAGAUUGAAAUAGCUUCUCUUAAUGAAGUGGUGGCAGAAUAUGAGAGAGAAACAAUAAAUACAUAGUUAGCUCUCCGACCUACAGAACUUGGGUAGUUCCACCAAUUGAG
rnacentral:lncRNA from 8 species